GUUGCUUCAAAGCUAUGAAUUUCAAGAUUUAUUUGUCACUAUUCUCUAUAUUUUCUGCUGUACACAGUAUUUGUGGGCUAUGGCAACCAAUCCCCUUGGGCUUUCUUUUGCUUUAAUUUGCAUAAACACAGGCAUCAUAUGAAUAUUCAGUGAAUGGCUUUGCAUUAAGUAAGUGCCCUUAAUCAGCUUUUCAGUUCAGUUUUAUUGGUUGCACGCACAGUCAGUUAUUUCAUCCAGAAAAUCUGAAGGCCCUACAAACUAACCAGAACAGAAAGGAGCUGGGAAAGGAGAGGCCAAAGAGCAGACAACUACUGACUGUUGACCAAGUAAGGCCUGGCGAGUCUCCAGCUGGACUGGUCUUCGUUGUGAGUCGUAGAGGUUCUCUUCAUUGAAUUUGCAAGUAGAGAGGAGUGUGUGAAGACCACCUAAAUACCUCUAUCUCAUGGCUCCCAUAUCUCCAGGAAAAGCCUUUUAAAAGAAAUAUCCAUGAAAUCCUUGGGCAUUCUGAAGCCAUCUUUCUCCAUUAUCCAAACAUCAGCAUCUACUGUUUCUUGGCAGAUUUCACAAAGGGCUGCACACCAGGAGACGAAAAGGUAAUGAUGUGUGUUUGUCUUAUGGGUAGACUCACAUUUCAAACUUGUCUACAAUUCCACUAAAUGAAAGGAGUUGUUAAACCAUAACAAAAGCUAAAUAAAAAGAAACAUUAAACUGUAAAAUGAAUAAAAACUGUCAUUAGGUGUAACCUAAACAGUCUGUGUGUGGUUUCUUAGAAUGACAAGUAAACAAUAAACACUAAGUGUUGUCAAGUAGCUUCAACAAAAAGUGUUUCCAUGCAUGUGCAAAUAGGGAGAUGUGCUGUAGCAAGCACCAAAUCACAGGAG
rnacentral:lncRNA from 1 species